rnacentral:misc_RNA from 1 species
AAGUCGUAACAAGGUUUCCGUAGGUGAACCUGCGGAAGGAUCAUUAACACGUUCCAAAACGUAUCAACCAAACGGUUAAGUGCAAACUUAUUCCCUGAUAAGAAAAGCUGUUCAACAUUUUUUAGUGAUAGGUAAAUCUUCGAUUUACAAAGAAUGUUGACUAGGGUCUCGAGCCCAGUGUUUUUCUUAUUAGGCUUUUCCCCCCUUUUUUCUAUCACUUCCAACACACUAUUUUCACCCCUUUGAAACUUAUGACUAAAUCUUUCGAACGAAGAAAUUUGUUUGGAAUUGUAUAUCUAACACUGUACAACUCUUAGCAAUGGAUAUCUUGGUUCUC